CCUACGGGUGGCAGCAGUGAGGAAUAUUGGUCAAUGGACGAGAGUCUGAACCAGCCAAGUAGCGUGAAGGAUGACUGCCCUGUGGAUUGUAAACUUCUUUUAUCUGGGAAUAAAACAGGGUAUGCAUACCCUCUUGUAUGUACCAUAUGAAUAAGGAUCGGCUAACUCCGUGCCAGCAGCCGCGGUAAUACGGAGGAUCCGAGCGUUAUCCGGAUUUAUUGGGUUUAAAGGGUGCGGAGGGGGUUUGUUAAGUCAGUUGUGAAAGUUUGGGGCUCAACCGCAAAAUUGCAGUUGAAACUGGCAGUCGUGAGUAGAGUAGAGGUGGGCGGAAUUCGUGGUGUAGCGGUGAAAUGCUUAGAUAUCACGAAGAACUCCGAGUGCGAAGGCAGCUCACUGGACUGAAACUGACACUGAGGCUCGAAAGUGUGGGUAUCAAACAGGAUUAGAUACCCUGGUAGUC
rnacentral:rRNA from 1 species